AUUUAACAGCCGCCUAACGGCUCGAAGCACAAACAUAGUCCACAUGAGCGUGAACAGUUGCAUACAGAGGCAUGUCAAGCAUCCCCAAUGCCAGAUUGUUUAGUGAAUGCAUGUUGGACAAAGGACACUUAUAAUUCAUGCAGCUCCUUUCCUAAGAUGCAGGGAAUGCGUUUGGAAAUGCAACUCUUCCCUAAAAACUGACCACUGUGACCCCUGACAUCUCAACCUCCAGUGUAGAGGGAGGAAAGCAGAGAGGCAUUAUGACAAACAGCGCUUUCCUUUACCAGUCUGACCCCAUCUUCUUCUCCACAGCUAAAUAUAAACAUCUCAUAUCAGCUCUGCCCAUCAAGCCUUCUCCCAACUGACCCCACACAGAUCUGUGCAGUGAUGUCAUGGGUUUACUUUAAUCACAAUAUGCCGGCGAUUUUUAGAGACCAGUUACAACCCACAGGUCUGUCACUCGCACUGAAACGCCCCAUCGGUUUAGAGUCAAAUUAGCGAGUUGGACUCUUGAUCUGUCUCAGAAAUUAAGUUUAAACUUUUCCAGCUAUCCUGAAGUGAUAAAACUCCCGAUUCUCAGGAAUUUGUGGGAAAAAUCCCUCGCCCGACAGCAGUGAAACUCCUCCACUUUCUCCCAGGAUAAAGGGUCAGGGUAGGCUUCCAACUACUCCAUCCAUAACCUUAAUAUAAAAUCCACUAAAUCAAAAUGCUUUCAAAGCAGCUUGUUUGUCUAAACAUCCACAUUAGAUAGGGCCAUUAUUUGUAAGGUUUUGGACUGACACAAAUUGUUUUAGUGUGUUACGCUAAAACAAUUUAACAAGGACUCAUUUAAUCUAAAUUAACCCUGUUUAUUGAGUUCCUUUCAUACAUACCUUUAUGUUUUUAAAUCUGAAUUUUGCCUGGUUAACAUAAAAAAAAAAAAAGAGCCACACAUAAAGCAAACAGGACACAUGACACCACAGCUGUGACUUCGGGGAAACAACCCCAUUCCAGUCUUUGGGCCAACUCCGCUCUACCUCCCUCCUCAUCUCAGCCAAAAAAACCGCCUCCAACUGCACCGACAGUUGGAGGCGGUAAAACACUCUGGGCCGAGGACGAAGCAGGGAGAUCUCCAUUUUAAUUGCUACGGCGGACGCGGACUGCGACUGUACCUUGGUGGUCUGAUAUGUUCUCCUGACUCGGAGGGCACCUUAUCCUGCUGAACGGGGCCACGGCCGUCAUGGAAUACAGUUUUCAUCCUGACUGAAUUGUGGCUAUGCAACAAGCUGUGAUGUACUCUGUAGCCUGACACCUUUCUAUCAGAACAAGAAAUGUCAUAUCUUGUAAUAUUUUAGCUGCAUUUGUAGUUAAUGAUAAUGUAAUUUACUGUGUAUGUUAAAUUCACCGUUAUCCCUUUAUUUAUGUGAAAAACCAAUGUACUGCUUACACGUAGUAGGAAUAAACUGUGUUCACCACAA